rnacentral:rRNA from 1 species
CGGGACACGUGGUAUCCUGUCUGAAUAUGGGGGGACCAUCCUCCAAGGCUAAAUACUCCUGACUGACCGAUAGUGAACCAGUACCGUGAGGGAAAGGCGAAAAGAACCCCGGCGAGGGGAGUGAAAAAGAACCUGAAACCGUGUACGUACAAGCAGUGGGAGCACGCUUAGGCGUGUGACUGCGUACCUUUUGUAUAAUGGGUCAGCGACUUAUAUUCUGUAGCAAGGUUAACCGAAUAGGGGAGCCGAAGGGAAACCGAGUCUUAACUGGGCGUUAAGUUGCAGGGUAUAGACCCGAAACCCGGUGAUCUAGCCAUGGGCAGGUUGAAGGUUGGGUAACACUAACUGGAGGACCGAACCGACUAAUGUUGAAAAAUUAGCGGAUGACUUGUGGCUGGGGGUGAAAGGCCAAUCAAACCGGGAGAUAGCUGGUUCUCCCCGAAAGCUAUUUAGGUAGCGCCUCGUGAAUUCAUCUCCGGGGGUAGAGCACUGUUUCGGCAAGGGGGUCAUCCCGACUUACCAACCCGAUGCAAACUGCGAAUACCGGAGAAUGUUAUCACGGGAGACACACGGCGGGUGCUAACGUCCGUCGUGAAGAGGGAAACAACCCAGACCGCCAGCUAAGGUCCCAAAGUCAUGGUUAAGUGGGAAACGAUGUGGGAAGGCCCAGACAGCCAGGAUGUUGGCUUAGAAGCAGCCAUCAUUUAAAGAAAGCGUAAUAGCUCACUGGUCGAGUCGGCCUGCGCGGAAGAUGUAACGGGGCUAAACCAUGCACCGAAGCUGCGGCAGCGACGCUGAUGCGUUGUUGGGUAGGGGAGCGUUCUGUAAGCCUGUGAAGGUGUGCUGUGAGGCAUGCUGGAGGUAUCAGAAGUGCGAAUGCUGACAUAAGUAACGAUAAAGCGGGUGAAAAGCCCGCUCGCCGGAAGACCAAGGGUUCCUGUCCAACGUUAAUCGGGGCAGGGUGAGUCGACCCCUAAGGCGAGGCCGAAAGGCGUAGUCGAUGGGAAACAGGUUAAUAUUCCUGUACUUGGUGUUACUGCGAAGGGGGGACGGAGAAGGCUAUGUUGGCCGGGCGACGGUUGUCCCGGUUUAAGCGUGUAGGCUGGUUUUCCAGGCAAAUCCGGAAAAUCAAGGCUGAGGCGUGAUGACGAGGCACUACGGUGCUGAAGCAACAAAUGCCCUGCUUCCAGGAAAAGCCUCUAAGCAUCAGGUAACAUCAAAUCGUACCCCAAACCGACACAGGUGGUCAGGUAGAGAAUACCAAGGCGCUUGAGAGAACUCGGGUGAAGGAACUAGGCAAAAUGGUGCCGUAACUUCGGGAGAAGGCACGCUGAUAUGUAGGUGAAGCGACUUGCUCGUGGAGCUGAAAUCAGUCGAAGAUACCAGCUGGCUGCAACUGUUUAUUAAAAACACAGCACUGUGCAAACACGAAAGUGGACGUAUACGGUGUGACGCCUGCCCGGUGCCGGAAGGUUAAUUGAUGGGGUCAGCGCAAGCGAAGCUCUUGAUCGAAGCCCCGGUAAACGGCGGCCGUAACUAUAACGGUCCUAAGGUAGCGAAAUUCCUUGUCGGGUAAGUUCCGACCUGCACGAAUGGCGUAAUGAUGGCCAGGCUGUCUCCACCCGAGACUCAGUGAAAUUGAACUCGCUGUGAAGAUGCAGUGUACCCGCGGCAAGACGGAAAGACCCCGUGAACCUUUACUAUAGCUUGACACUGAACAUUGAGCCUUGAUGUGUAGGAUAGGUGGGAGGCUUUGAAGUGUGGACGCCAGUCUGCAUGGAGCCGGCCUUGAAAUACCACCCUUUAAUGUUUGAUGUUCUAACGUUGACCCGUGAUCCGGGUUGCGGACAGUGUCUGGUGGGUAGUUUGACUGGGGCGGUCUCCUCCUAAAGAGUAACGGAGGAGCACGAAGGUUGGCUAAUCCUGGUCGGACAUCAGGAGGUUAGUGCAAUGGCAUAAGCCAGCUUGACUGCGAGCGUGACGGCGCGAGCAGGUGCGAAAGCAGGUCAUAGUGAUCCGGUGGUUCUGAAUGGAAGGGCCAUCGCUCAAC